GAUGAACGCUAGCUACAGGCUUAACACAUGCAAGUCGAGGGGCAGCAUGACGAUAGCUUGCUAUUGUUGAUGGCGACCGGCGCACGGGUGAGUAACGCGUAUCCAACCUUCCCGUUGCUAGGGGAUAACCUUGCGAAAGUAAGACUAAUACCCUAUGAGGUUCUUCGCAGGCAUCUAAAGAGAACGAAAGAUUUAUCGGCAACGGAUGGGGAUGCGUCUGAUUAGGUUGUUGGCGGGGCAACGGCCCACCAAGCCUACGAUCAGUAGGGGUUCUGAGAGGAAGGUCCCCCCACAUUGGAACUGAGACACGGUCCAAACUCCUACGGGAGGCAGCAGUGAGGAAUAUUGGUCAAUGGACGAGAGUCUGAACCAGCCAAGUAGCGUGCAGGAUGACGGCCCUAUGGGUUGUAAACUGCUUUUAUAAGGGAAUAAAGUGAGUCUCGUGAGACUUUUUGCAUGUACCUUAUGAAUAAGGACCGGCUAAUUCCGUG
rnacentral:rRNA from 1 species